CCUACGGGAGGCAGCAGUGAGGAAUAUUGGUCAAUGGGCGGAAGCCUGAACCAGCCAAGUCGCGUGAGGGAAUAAGGCCCUACGGGUCGUAAACCUCUUUUGCCGGGGAGCAAGGGCGGGGACGUGUCCCGGCCCGGAGAGGACCCGGAGAAAAAGCAGCGGCGAACUCCGUGCCAGCAGCCGCGGUAAUAAGGAGGAUGCGAGCGUUAUCCGGAUUUAUUGGGUUUAACGGGUGCGUAGGCGGGCUUUUAAGUCAGCGGUAAAAAUUCGGGGCUCAACCCCGUCCGGCCGUUGAGACUGGGGGCCUUGAGUGGGCGCGACGCAGGCGGCCUGCGUGGUGUAGCGGUGACAUGCCUCGAUCUCACGCAGAACCCCGAUUGCGAAGGCAGCCUUCCGGCGCCCUACUGACGCUGCGGCACGCAAGUGCGGUGAUCGAACAGGAUUAGAUACCCGAGUAGUC
rnacentral:rRNA from 1 species